rnacentral:rRNA from 1 species
UUCAUCGUCGUGUGUGAAGCCUUCCUCCGCAUCACCCCACACUUCGGCUUAUGGCUCAAGACCUUCAAUGUGAAGCCAAAGAUGAUUGAGGGGCGACACGCAGAGUGCGGAGGUGCCAUAAUAAACAAAGGCGCCGAUGCUCCAUGGCCAAAGGGUUCCUUCCCGGAGACAUCCAAGUUAUGGCAGCGGGAGUGGUUUUACAUCACCGCUCCCCGAAGCGCUAAGUGGGUAGCUGCCCCCGCCUUCUGUCCGGGCCCCCCGCCACAAUUGGCGUCAUGGGUCAACAAAGGGCUGGACUGGGGGCCAGCUAAUGAUGUGCCGACAUUGCAGAGCCGCAUCUGA